CGUAACGGGCAAUAUCCUUGUGCAUUAAGUUGGUGAACUCUUGUGUUCCAUUGGGUAAUGCUAUCAAAUCUUAAUGUGCUAUUUGUGAAAGAUUUUAUUAUUCUGUAUGUUUUAAAGGAAAAUAUUUCAAAUUGAUUUAUUUGCAUGUUACGGAGUUGUAUUUUUCUGAUCUGUGGAGCCUGACAUUUUCCACAAUUUCUAUCGGCGGACAAAAUGUCUUUUAGGAUUGGUAGCAGCUUACAAAGCAGUAGGUUCCAACAUCAUCUAACGUCUGCUUUAGUAAUGGCAGGGAUGUGAAUGAUAAUUUGUGAAAUCAAACAACUUAAGCAGGUGCCUAGCUCAACAACUCCUAUGAAAUCUAGAUUGGUGGUGGUAGUUCUAGGGCGCCUGUUCAGGCAACAGUUUCGUUUUUUAAUCCGCCAAGGAUUUAUGCGUUAUUGCGUCUACUGUGUAGCCUGAGUAGCAUACGCAAGGGGGCGUUUAUCUACAUUCCUGAUCACCAAGCAGUUACAAAUAUGUUCUACACUGAUAAGCAUCCGAGGCAAAGGGCGAGCUGAACUAGUCUAUUGCCCCUCAAUUCCAGAGGGCACUAGUUUACAGCAACUCGGGCUCACCCUUUGGGUAAUUUGAGAUACUUUUCUGGACGGUUCAGAAUCUUAUUAUUGGCCAAAAUUUGAUACGAGAUUAAUUGAUACUUAGUCCUGUCAGACCUCAAAUUCUACGGUUUAUAAUUCUUGUUCUAUGACCGAUUUUAUUAUUAUUUUUUUUUAUACAGAGAGUGGAUUCUCAUUUCUUCUUCAUACCAGCGAGCAGAUUUGAGGUUUAAAAUUGUUUUAGGUUGUUAAGCAAGUCUGACUUUCUACGAUGUACAUGGCCGCCAAACUUUGUCGUUAUGUCUCACUGUUAAUCGGUAAUAAAAACGUCGAAUUAUUGACGAUACGUUUGUCAAAAUGGCAAAUACAACGCCUAACGAUUUAAAUCUAACUUGGGAUAAUCUACUUCUCGGACAAGGUACUUUGAGACCGGAUCUAAUUGAGUCCGCUUUCCAUAUGGCUUCUUCGCGCACGGUUGCCAUGAAGACUCGUCAUAACGAUUCCGAAAUGGUUCGUCAAUUUCGCAUUCACGGCCGUGUAGUAGAACCUAUUAAAGACUUCCUUAAAGAUGAAGUAAGAGCCUUAGGUCGUGAGCUGGGUUUGCCCGCACAAUUACUGGAACGUUACCCGUUUCCUGGUCCCGGCUUGUCAAUUUGAAUCAUUUACGCCGAAGAGCCGUUCUUGGAAGCUAAUUUCGAUGAGACGCAAGUGAUGAUUCGUUCGAUGGUCCAUUAUGCCAACAUAGCAGCCAAGGAACAUGCCUUGCUCAAUCGGAUUGAAAUCGUGACGUCGGAAGAAGAACGUCUUGUUCUGGGAGAACUGUCUAGUCGCAACCAGUAGAUGAUAGGUGCCACCGUAUCUACGCCAAGGUUUUUUUUUCUCUUGUCUAGAUCUUUUAAUGGCCAGUGGGUCCUUGUGAUCAUGGCCAAUGGCUUGAGCCGGAUACCAACGACUAUGGCACCUGUCGCCCUUCGCCUUGCCCAGUAAGCAAAUGCAACGGUCGCCAGAUCUACUGGAAGUCAACACUAAAUUCUGAAGGUAGCUGUUAUAAAUCGUUCACACGUGGGCCUUGCAGGCGAAGUAGCUAUUUCCUCGUUGAAGAAUAUGGCACUCGAAGAGGUCGAUUUGUUUCUCAAUUUGGAUCAUCCUAUGAAUCCUAUGUCCUUCCGUCACGCUAUCCCAGGAUGAGGAACCCUUACGACAUGAUGUACUCCAACAACGUGAUGAGCCCAUGAUCGAAAUUUGGCAUGUAUCCGCCGUUUGGCAUGCAGGAAGAUUAGCGGAGACGACUAUCCUGACAUUCCUAGUUUCGAUUACUGAACUAGAAACAGUUUUACAGAACCAUUCACAUGGUUUUGUCUCUAUUAUUUCAUUUUAAAAAUGCGAUUGCAAAUUUUCUAUUGUGACGUAUGGCGGAUAAAAAACAACCUUAAUUAGUUUUAAUGCAUGAAUUCGUUUGCCAAUAAUAUGUGUAUGAAGAAAAUGUUUUCACUUUGAAACAGAGUCAUGGAACCCAUCGGUUUCCAUGACUCUGCUUUGAAAGUUUGAACAGGGAUUUCUGUUUUACCUUUCUGCGAUGCGGCAACACAGCAUUGCAUGUCGAUCUGCGAACGUUUGACAACUCGCUGGUAUUGCAACAGGUUAAUAGUUUUGUGUCAAGUAAAUUUCAAGUGCGAGUAACUGCUGGAAGAUUGCAAGCGAAAUCUGCAUGUGUCGUGUCAUUGUUCUAAGUGUUGGAGACUUUUUUCGUUUUGAUUAGGCAUUCAUGUUUGGGAACAAUACCUGAAGUUGGAUAUCGCCUAGUGAUAUUUACAUAUUAAGUCCUGUUUUAAGACACUUGGGGCGAUACGUUUCGCAACAAAGAUCUAUACAGUACUCAAAAGAUGACCCACAAGCACUACGCCACCACGAUUGAGACAAGGUAAAACACAAAACUAUAAAGCGCCAUUUAUCAAUAAUGAAUGAAUUUCCUCAUUCUAACAAUAAUUUAAGAAAAUGUAAAUGUAUACUUAGCUGUGGUAAUUAUUUCGUUUACAUCGACUACACUUCAAUAAUUUACAAGUGGGAAAGUGUUGCCUAUAAGCAACAAGAAGGUAUUGUGCAUGUUUAUGAGCGAAUCAUGGCUUAAUGGGUGAGUGUCGGAUUGUACCGCUGGAUGUUUGUGGAUCAAAUACCAUCAAAGGUAAAAAGUA
rnacentral:lncRNA from 1 species